rnacentral:rRNA from 1 species
GAUGAACGCUGGCGGCGUGCCUAAUACAUGCAAGUCGAGCGAACAGAUGAGGAGCUUGCUCCUCUGACGUUAGCGGCGGACGGGUGAGUAACACGUGGAUAACCUACCUAUAAGACUGGGAUAACUUCGGGGAACCGGAGCUAAUACCGGAUAAUAUAUUGAACCGCAUGGUUCAAUAGUGAAAGACGGUUUUGCUGUCACUUAUAGAUGGAUCCGCGCCGCAUUAGCUAGUUGGUAAGGUAACGGCUUACCAAGGCAACGAUGCGUAGCCGACCUGAGAGGGUGAUCGGCCACACUGGAACUGAGACACGGUCCAGACUCCUACGGGAGGCAGCAGUAGGGAAUCUUCCGCAAUGGGCGAAAGCCUGACGGAGCAACGCCGCGUGAGUGAUGAAGGUCUUCGGAUCGUAAAACUCUGUUAUUAGGGAAGAACAAAUGUGUAAGUAACUAUGCACGUCUUGACGGUACCCAAUCAGAAAGCCACGGCUAACUACGUG